CUCUGCCCCUACAACGUGUGUUUCCCGCCUGAGUCCGCUUCUCACGCCCGGCGGGAGCCCGCUCGGGCUGCUCCGGGCCGGGGAGGGAGCCAUCCGGGCUCCGGCCUGUCCGGACGGGUGCGGGCCGCGGGCUCUGCCGACACCGGCACCGGCGCUCCUGGCGGGGCCUGUCGUGUCGGGAGAGACUGAGCGAAUGCCCGUUGUUUCUGUGAGGGGUGGUGGAGGUUGAAGCAGCGACGUCGUUGGGUCAUUCACAUUAAUCUGUAACUCGGCCUUCCAAGUUCAGGUCCUUCCUUGCGGUGGUAGCCAGGUUUCAGCCAAUCACAAACAACCAAGCUUUAGCCAACCACAGGCAUCCAGCUGAUGCCACCGUGCCCAAACAAGGCACCUGCCUGGCUGAAGCCCAUGAGAUGAGUUCUGCACUUUUCUUCUGUGUUCAUCCUCUAAAAACUUGCUGUUCACACUGUUGUGUGGAGUUCUCUAAACCUCUCCUGGUUCGGAGCGCCAUCCAAUUCAUGAAUUGUUCUUUGCUCAAAUAAAGUCUGUUAAAUUUAA